rnacentral:rRNA from 1 species
AUUGAACGCUGGCGGCAGGCCUAACACAUGCAAGUCGAACGAGUGGCGGACGGGUGAGUAAUGUCUGGGAAACUGCCCGAUGGAGGGGGAUAACUACUGGAAACGGUAGCUAAUACCGCAUACCAUCGGAUGUGCCCAGAUGGGAUUAGCUUUUAGGUGAGGGAACGGCGCACCUAGGCGACGCUCCCUAGCUGGUCUGAGAGGAUGACCAGCUACACUGGAACUGAGACACGGUCCAUACUCCUACGGGAGGCAGAAGUGGGGAAGAUGGGGCAAUGGGCGAAAGCCUGAUGCAGCAAUGCCGCGUGUGUGAAGAAGGCAUUCGGGUUUUAAAUUACUUUCAGCAGAGAGGCGUUAUCCGCACAGAAAGCAACGGCUAACGCCGUGCCAGCAGCCGCGGUAAUAC